CGUUCUGUAUUCCACUGUAUUCUUGGAUAUCUUUGACAAACGUGCGUGACUCGAAGCGACUGGAGACUGAAGACUGAAGACUGAAGACUGGAGUCGAGUCAAUGCAAGUCGCUCUGCAGCGUGCAGCUGCAGCUCUAAUCAGCGUCAGGAGCGCGUGCCAGUCGCGUUGUCACCUGCACAAUUAUAGAAUUUUCCAUAGUCGGGCAAUGCGCAGCCACCAAAAUGGCAAGACUCCAAAAAGGUGCGCCACAACAGAGCGAGCAAGCUCUCUGUCCGCGCGAGAAGUGUCCGCCAUAAAUAACUGCCAAUAAAUGUCAACGUUUUUGGAGCAUUAA